rnacentral:rRNA from 1 species
UGCUGCAGCUAACGCAUUUAAGUAAUCCGCCUGGGGAGUACGACCGCAAAGGUUGAAACUCAAAAGAAUUGACGGGGGCCCGCACAAGCGGUGGAGCAUGUGGUUUAAUUCGAAGCUACGCGAAGAACCUUACCAGGUCUUGACAUCUUCUGCCAACCUAAGAGAUUAGGCGUUCCCUUCGGGGACAGAAUGACAGGUGGUGCAUGGUUGUCGUCAGCUCGUGUCGUGAGAUGUUGGGUUAAGUCCCGCAACGAGCGCAACCCUUAUUACUAGUUGCCAGCAUUCAGUUGGGCACUCUAGUGAGACUGCCGGUGACAAACCGGAGGAAGGUGGGGACGACGUCAAAUCAUCAUGCCCCUUAUGACCUGGGCUACACACGUGCUACAAUGGAUGGUACAACGAGUCGCGAAACCGCGAGGUUUAGCUAAUCUCUUAAAACCAUUCUCAGUUCGGACUGUAGGCUGCAACUCGCCUACACGAAGUCGGAAUCGCUAGUAAUCGCGGAUCAGCAUGCCGCGGUGAAUACGUUCCCGGGCCUUGUACACACCGCCCGUCUCUCCAUGAGAGUUUGUAACACCCAAAGC